rnacentral:lncRNA from 1 species
AAAGAAGAUAGAAAUAAAAGGAACACUGAUAGUUUUGAAAAACACAAAAAAGAUAGAGGAAAAAGAAAAUUCACCCGGAUGGAGAUUUAAUUAGAUGUUCAAAAAUACCUUUAAUAAUAAAUGGACCCUGGUUCUAAUCAAAAUAGAAAAUAUUUUAAUAACAAAAAAACAACAAAAACAGCCGGAAGAAUAUCAAUAGAAAAACUAGAUAUUACUUUAAGUAAUUGAAGAGGUAUAAAGGAGAAAGAUUUGGAACAAUAAAGAAAAAAGAAUGGGGACCAAUGUUGAAUAAAGACAGAAGAACAUCACAAGCAAAGAAAAAGGACAGUAAUCAUAACCAAAUAGUCACUCUGAAACACAUGCAUGGAUAUUAUAACAAUAUAAAAAAAGACAAAAGGAAAGUUUUCUUACAUUUAAAGAUCUGAAGUUAUCAAAACGAAAGACUACAAUAAUCUUCAUCAAAGUCCUAAAAAUCAUGAAGAUGAAAUCACAAAGGAAAGUGAAACCUUGCAACAAC